CAGUCGCCGCGGGAAUACAGAGGGUGCGAGCGUUAAUCGGAUUUACUGGGCGUAAAGCGUGCGUAGGCGGCUUCUUAAGUCGGAUGUGAAAUCCCUGAGCUUAACUUAGGAAUUGCAUUCGAUACUGGGAAGCUAGAGUAUGGGAGAGGAUGGUAGAAUUCCAGGUGUAGCGGUGAAAUGCGUAGAGAUCUGGAGGAAUACCGAUGGCGAAGGCAGCCAUCUGGCCUAAUACUGACGCUGAGGUACGAAAGCAUGGGGAGCAAACAGGAUUAGAUACCCCUGUAGUCCCUGUCUCUAUACC
rnacentral:rRNA from 1 species